rnacentral:rRNA from 1 species
GACGAACGCUGGCGGCGUGCUUAACACAUGCAAGUCGAACGGAAAGGCCCUGCUUUUGUGGGGUGCUCGAGUGGCGAACGGGUGAGUAACACGUGAGUAACCUGCCCUUGACUUUGGGAUAACUUCAGGAAACUGGGGCUAAUACCGGAUAGGUGCUCCUGCUGCAUGGUGGGGGUUGGAAAGUUUCGGCGGUUGGGGAUGGACUCGCGGCUUAUCAGCUUGUUGGUGGGGUAGUGGCUUACCAAGGCUUUGACGGGUAGCCGGCCUGAGAGGGUGACCGGCCACAUUGGGACUGAGAUACGGCCCAGACUCCUACGGGAGGCAGCAGUGGGGAAUAUUGCACAAUGGGCGGAAGCCUGAUGCAGCAACGCCGCGUGCGGGAUGACGGCCUUCGGGCUGUAAACCGCUUUCGCCUGUGACGAAGCGUGAGUGACGGUAAUGGGUAAAGAAGCACCGGCUAACUACGUG